UACGGGGGGAGCAAGCGUUGUUCGGAUUUACUGGGCGUAAAGGGCGCGUAGGCGGCCACCGCAAGUCGACUGUGAAAUCUCCGGGCUUAACCCGGAAAGGUCAGCCGAUACUGCGGGGCUAGAGUGCAGAAGGGGCAACUGGAAUUCUCGGUGUAGCGGUGAAAUGCGCAGAUAUCGGGAGGAACACCAGUAGCGAAGGCGGCACUCUGGGCCGGUACUGACGCUGAGGAGCGAAAGCGUGGGGAGCAAACAGG
rnacentral:rRNA from 1 species